rnacentral:lncRNA from 1 species
UUUAACAAUAUAAGGACUAUAAUACAAAAAUAUAAAAGAUUACACAUUAAAAUACCAGAUAUAAUAGUAAUAAUAGCAGUAGUGGUAAUAUGUACAAAGUUACGAAUGAAAAUCAUGGACAAUAUACUUCUAACAAAGGAGUUAACAUAAACAGUAGCAACAAAAAUAAAAAUUGUCCACUUCGAAAUAUAACAAGAAAUUGUACUGAUUUAAAAAAAAAAAUUUAUACGAACAACCAUAAUUCGGUAAAAAUAAAUGAUAAUAUAAUACAAAAUUAUGAUAAAACAAUCAGUGAUAUGUGUAAUGCUAAUAUAAAGGAAGAAUUACGUUGUAAAAACAAUAUUAGUAACAUUAAUUGUAAUGGUGUUCAUAGUAAUGAUAGUAAUAGUGUAACUACAGAAAGUUGUAUUGAAAACGAUGAUAAUGCUUUAGCAAACGAAAACAAUAAUAAAAACAAAAAUAGAAAAUCAGAAAAGAAAAAUCAGUUUAUUGUGCAAAAUGAUCAAACAAAAUAUAUUAAUAAAAAAAAUGAAAAACUAAAUUUUAUUUCAAAUUCUGUCGAUUGUAAUGAUUCAAAAAAAGAAAACGUUAACGUACCAUUGCUACAUAGAGAAGAAACAAAUGGCAAUUUUAAACUUUUUUUAAAUGACGAAGAUAAAUUAAAACAUAAAAAUAUUAUAUAUAAUGAUACAUGCUCAAAAAGUAACAUUAUUUUUAGUACAUCUAAUGAUAUUAAUAAAGUAGAUAAUAUAUAUCAAAGUAAUAAUAAUUUACAUGAUAAUAUUUCAGAUGAGUUAAUAGACAUUACGUAUACAAGUGGGCAAGUUUUUUUACAUAAGGAAAAUAAAAAUGGUGCUUCUAAAAAUUGCACUUCUAAAAAUUAUGUUUCUAAAAAUUGUGCUUCUAAAAAUUGUGCUUCUAAAAAUGGUACAACUAACAGUAGUACAGACGUAAGCACAAGCACAAAUGUAAUUACCAACGAGAACACCAGCACAAGCAUGGAUAACACGUCAUCUGAAAGUACUGAAAACACUUACUGUGAUUUUAAUGAGAGCUUAAAUAAUAAUAGUGUAUCUCAAAGUACAAAAACUUUUAGUAAUAGUAGUAAUGAUAACAUAAAAGAAUCAGCCGACAGUAUGUAUUUAUGUAAAACUGUGCCUUGUAGUAGUAAAAUGAAUAAUUUGAAUUUGUGCCAUGACUUCGUUUCUACCUACGCUCCAAAUUUAGACAGUAGUUUAUACCAAUAUUUAAAUAAUAAAAAAGAUGAUGAAGAAAGGAAAAAGGAAGAAGGGGUAUAUAAUAUACAAAAUAUAUCAAACGAGAAUAACACUGAUUUUGUUGAUUUUAAAAAAAUAGAUAACUUAAAAAGUGAUAGUAAAAAUGGAAGUGAUCAUUCUGAUAAUAACGAGAGUAGCACAAGUUAUAAAAGUAGCGAACUGAUUAAUGAAAGUAGCCAAGAUAUAAGUAGAAAAAGAAGGAAAGGCAACAGUGUUGAAAAAAGUAGCGAAAGUAGUUGUGACUAUGUACCUAACCGUGAUGAUAAUGUUUUUUUAAGCGAAGAUGACAGUCAAAAUAGCACCAACAGAAACACCAUUGAAAACGACAAAACGGACGGAACUUCUUGUACUCGUGAUGAUACACAAGACACAAAAAAAAAUGAAAUAGUAACACAAAAGAACAGCUUAAAAAGAAAUCUAAAAAAUGAUUAUAAUAAUAAUAUGAAUAAAAAACUAAAAAUGAAUGAAUACUCUUUACUUAAUUUAAAUAUAUACAAAAACAUUCAAUCAGAUAUAUACAGGAAUAAUGCUUAUAAUACAUACGUAUUAAACAACCUUCGUAAUUCUUAUUUGAAAAUUAAAUUAAACGAAGCAAACCUUAAAAUGAGUAAUAAUAGAACGAGCGAAGAAAAAAAAAAAAAAUCGCUUUCUAAUUAUAGCCAUAAUAGUAAUAAUAUGAAUGACAACAAUAAUAAUAUUAGUAACAAUUGUACUUAUGCCUCUUUUAAAAACAGUGACAAUGGAUACACUUUACAAAAAAAAUUCAACAAGACUACGGCUGAAAGUAACCAUACUAAUUUAUCAUCCAUUUUUAAUACUGCAAUAAAUAAUAAGAUAAAUAGCGAGGAAAAAGAACUUGCAUUUGAUGUUAAUAAAAACAUAAAACAAAAUGAUAUUAUGAUUAAUUCUAACAAUUAUGAUAUGCAAAAUUCAAAUAAUGAUAUACAUAAGAAAUAUGUUGAUAAAAAUAAAAAAAACGUCGUAGGAUGCAUGCAUGAGUCAUUGAAACGGGACACAUAUAAUGGUUGCUUAAACGUUAGUAAUAACAUUAGUUAUAGUAAUAAUAACUAUAGUAACAACGAAUGCAGUAACAACAACCAAAGCAGCAACAGCCAUAGUAACAACCUUCCGAAAGAGAUGUUAUACAAUAAAGAUUUCCAUUUAAACUUAUGCAGUAUAAUACAACUUUUAGAAAAAGAGAAAAUCGAAAAAUUAUAUUCUGAAGAAGAAUUAAAAAGUAUAUUAAUUCCGAUAUAUGGUGUUUAUUACGAUACUACAAAAAAAAAUUGGUUGUGUAAUUAUGAUCAUGUUAAUAAUAUACCAUUUUCUUCUCCUUCCCCUUCUUCUUCUUCUUCUUCUUCUGCUUCUUCUUCCUCAUCAUCAAAAUCGACGUCAACAUCAAAUAUAAAAAAAAAAAUAUUUCCCACAAAAAUAUAUUCUUAUCACGAAGCAAGACAAUUAGCUUUAGAACAUAAAUAUAAUUAUACUAAAAGUAAAUAUAACAUCUUUAAUAAUUUAAAUGAAGAAGAACAUAUAUUUUUUAUAUCAAUAAACGCAUUUACAUCAAAUAAAAUUAACAAGAAUGAGAAACAAAAAGUGUUAAACCAUAACCAUACAUGUACUGACAAAGGGAUACUAUACUCCCCCUCCAAUGAUAAUUGUAUUGAUACACAACAAAACAAUGUUUCCAAUGUAAAUGAGAAUAGCGAUCAAUUAACUGCUUUUUACAAAGAAAACGUCGAAGAUGUAUCAGCAUUAAAAAGUGAAUUAAAAAAAAAAGAAAACGACUAUACUGUUAAUAUGGAUGAUAGUUCUGUCGCAAAUACCACCACAAGUACCUGUGCAAGUACUGUUAUAGAUAGUGAUAGCACAACUAGUGGAACAUGUAAUAGUACAAAUGUUAAUUUACAUACUAGUUUAUAUAUUGACUCACAAAAAAAUAAAAAAAUAAAUUUAAACUUAACUUUAAAACUGUUGGAUCAUAAAGAAACAAUUAAUUAUGACACAUCUUUACCAAUUCAAAAUAUUAGUUCUGACUUAGCUAAUACGAAAGAAGACAUUGAAGAAAAAUGUUUUAAUAGAAAUGAUACAACAGGUGGUGGUGACGACAUCUUGUUAAAUAGUUUACAUUUGACACAAAACAAUAGUGACGUUAUUAAUUUUGAAAAAAGUUACGAUGGCGCUCUUAACGCAACAAAUAAUAACAUACUUGACACUAGUACAAAUAAAAGAAAUAAUCUUAACAAUAAUAGCAACGAAAAAAAGGACGCAGAAAUGGAUAAAGAUGAUACAAUCGGUGCAUACAGUGCUCAAAUAAUAGAAAAAACGGACGAUACACACAAUACAUACAUUAUAGACAGUAUAAACAAAACCAACGGUAUAUACAAUGCACAUAACACAAACAUACACAGUAUUAACUUUAAAACACAAGUCAUAUUGUACAAAACAUUAGGUAUAAUGUUUUCAGAAAGCAUAAUCGAAAAAUUAAAGCAUUUACAAAAAGAAUAUAUCUUUUAUGAAAAAGAAAAAGAAAGAUGGGUUAUUAAAAUACUUGAAAAAAAAAAUAAUACAUUGUUAUAUUUUAAAAAGUUUGACUGUAAAGUUUAUGGUUUUUUCUAUGCAUGUAUUCUAACAAUAGAACAUAAACAUUUAUAUUUAGAUUACUUCCUAAAUGAAAAAAAUUACGACUUCUUAAUGAACUUAAUACAAAAUAGUUAUAUAAAAAAGAAUCGUUAUUAUAAUGGCAACACGCUUACUGAGCCAAGUUCUUUUUAUAGUGAUGUAGACUAUAACUGUGUAUAUCAUAAUGGUGUAGCUCAUAACGAUAUCAAUAUAAACAAUGCGAACUAUAAUUGUGUCUAUCCAACUGAAAAUGAAAAACGUAUUUCAAACUUUGUUUGCUGUAAGGACAACGUAUAUAAUGUCGACAUGAACGAUGACAACAUAUGCAAACACGAGUCGUUCCAUUAUAAUAAUACCAAAGUAGGUCACGUACAAACUGCAAAUUACGAAGUAAGUUAUGACCAUAUUAAUUCUUUUGAAAAACACAGUGAUGUCACAAGGAAUAGAAGUUACAUUAAAAAAAAAGCGUUUACUAAAAAUUGUAACAAAAAAGGAAAGGUAUAUGCAUAUAAAAAUACAAUGCUAAGUAAGAACCCUAACAUAGUAUAUAAUAACUACGAAACAAAAAAUGCUAGUAUAAAAAUAAAAAACGAAACAAAUAAUUACAUAUACGAAAAUAACAUUUGUGUAAAUAGCUUACAAGUAACAAAUUAUAACUAUGCUGUAGAAAAUAAUAUACACAACGAUACGUACCCAAUUCAAACUAUUAACAGUAGCGAUGUCACUGGUUAUGCAAACCAUAUGCAAUUAUAUAAGCAAAACGUAAAAGGGGUAGUUAUAGAAAAGUUUCACAGUGACGAGAAAAAAACAACAAUAAUAAAAAAAAAAAAGAAAAAAAGAAAAAAAAAAUAACCAAACCUAUCAAGACAAUCAAGUAAAUGGUGCGCAUACAACUGAUGGGCAUAUAAAUGGUGCGCAUACAACUGAUGGGCAUACAAAUGGUGCGCAUAUAACUGAUGCACACACAAAUGAUGACGAUACAAAUGAUGGACAUACAAAUGGUGUGCAUAUAACUGAUGCACACACAAAUGAUGAUGAUACAAAUGAUGGGCAUACAAACCCAAACGUUCAACAAACGACAGAAAAUGGACAUAAUUACAAUUCUUAUAAAAAUAAAAACCAUAGUAAUUUUUUAUUAACUCUGGGU